rnacentral:misc_RNA from 1 species
AGCUGGAGGAGAGAAGUGGAAAUCGAUGUCUUCUGCUGAAAAAGCUCCAUAUGAAGCCACAGCUGCCAAAAAGAAGGAUGAGUAUGGGAAACUUAUGAACGCAUACAACAGGAAGCAGGAGAGUACAGCUGAUGAUGGUGAUGCAGAGUCAGACAGGUCAAAAUCUGAAGUGAAUGAUGAAGAUGAUGAGGCUACUGGAGAGGUUAGCUUACCAAUUUGUUUAAUUCUUUUAACAAUG